AUGUUCCUCUCCAUCAAAGAUGAAAACAUCUUCAUCCCUGAAAGAACUCUGACACAGUCUGAAUCUGUGGUUAAAAGACCAGGAGAACCCCACACACUGACCUGUACAGCUUCUGGAUUCACACUCAGUAGCUAUGAGAUGGUUUGGGUCAGACAGGCUCCUGGAAAAGGACUGGAGUGGAUUGMUUAUCAUUAUACCAGUAGCAGCAUCUACUACUCUCAGUCAGUUCAAGGCUGGUUCACCAGCUCUAGGACUGGAAGCUUAAACACAGGUGGUGCUGAAGGUUGGAGCAUCACAGAAUCUGAACCUGCAGUCAAUCAACCAGGAGAGUCUCACAAACUCACCUGCACAACAUCUGGGUUUGACUUUAGAAACUCAGUGUGGGUCUGGAUCAGACAGCCUCCUGGUAAAGGACUGGAGUGGAUCGCUUUGGUGCACACCUCUAGUACUCCCAUCUAUUACUCCAAUUCAGUCCGGGGGAGAUUCAUCAUCACCAGAGAUGACUCCAGCAGUAAAGUUUAUCUACAGAUGAACAACCUGAAGACUGAGGACUCAGGCGUAUAUUACUGCGCCCGAGAGACACAGAGUUUGGAGUGAGAUCAGACUGAAG